UCGCAAUGUAGCCCUGGGGAAAGACCCCUGGCAUCUUGCAGCCGUCUGCGAGAAGGGCCUUCACUUCGGGCUCCUCCAGCAUUCGCUUGUAGAAUUCGGUCAAGCCGGCGAAGCUGUCCAAAAGAUCAGCCUGGAUCAUCGUCAAGAUGCGAAGAGUGACCCACAGCUUGCAUUCACCGACAGUUCUGCCAUUGGAUG
rnacentral:RNase_MRP_RNA from 15 species